AUUGAACGCUGGCGGCAGGCCUAACACAUGCAAGUCGAGCGGAUGAGGGAAGCUUGCUUCCCGAUUUAGCGGCGGACGGGUGAGUAAUGCCUAGGAAUCUGCCUAUUAGUGGGGGAUAACGUUCCGAAAGGAACGCUAAUACCGCAUACGUCCUACGGGAGAAAGUGGGGGAUCUUCGGACCUCACGCUAAUAGAUGAGCCUAGGUCGGAUUAGCUAGUUGGUGAGGUAACGGCUCACCAAGGAGACGAUCCGUAGCUGGUCUGAGAGGAUGAUCAGCCACCAUGGAACUGAGACACGGUCCAGACUCCUACGGGAGGCAGCAGUGGGGAAUAUUGGACAAUGGGCGAAAGCCUGAUCCAGCCAUGCCGCGUGUGUGAAGAAGGUCUUCGGAUUGUAAAGCACUUUAAGUUGGGAGGAAGAGUUGUAAGCUAAUAUCUUGCAGCUUUGACGUUACCAACAGAAUAAGCACCGGCUAACUCUGUGCCAGCCGCCGCCGUAAGAC
rnacentral:rRNA from 1 species